AUUUCAUGGGCUGGUUGUGAUCAGUGAGCCAUGUGUACAAAAUUGCAGACAUUAAUCACUCCACCUGUUAAAAAGACCCUGUGAUAGUGCUCAAGCUGGUAUCACUGGCGCGUCAGAUCCUUCUCAUGCUGCCCACCUCAGCCAAAGGAGCCUCCACCGCCUAGAUACGUGCCCUGCAUAGCGGCAGAAUUGGCAAAACCUCCAGUUGUCAUCACUUUCCCAUCUAAAUCGAAUGAUGGGGGCCUCACUAGGAGGUGACCGCCAUUGGAGGGUUUAAGGUCCUUUUUGUGUCGUUAUCCAGGUGUAUGUGGUCACCCAGUAGUCACUCUGAGUGUGGGCAGAGUCUUCAUCUUCUCCUGUCUCUGCAGGUUGUCACCUUCAGAGUUCCCAUCAUGGCUCAGCAGUAACGAACGCAAAUGGUAUCCAUGAGGACGCAGGUUCGAUCCCUGGCCUCGCUCAGUGGGUUCAGGAUCCAGCGUUGCCAUGAGCUGUGGUGUAGGUCCCAGAUGAGGCUUGGAUCUGGUGUUGCUGUGGCUGUGGUGUAGGCUGGCAGCUAUAGCUCUGAUUUGACUCCUAGCCUGGGAAUUUCCACAUGCUGCAGGUGCAGCCUAAAAUCAAAAUAAUAAUAAUAAUAAUAAAUAAAAAAGUAGGCCCUCUACCCGACAGGGGCCAGUAAGCCCCUCAGUCGAUGGCUUCUGUUGUUUCAUCAUUCACUGAUUUUACUUGUCCAAUGGAUGUUUUAUCUUAAACCCUCAUCCGACAGAGGUGCCAGCUAGACAAAUGGGUUAAGCUGAAAUUCCUCACUAAAAGGUCUUCACACAUUUCCAGGAGGAUGCGUUCAGAGCACCUUUCCAACCUGCAUCUUUGCAUUUACUAAAUAUAACCUCCGGCCAGUCCCGCACUGCGCACAGGUAUUAUUUACACCCACUUAGGCGGAAAGAAAAAUGCCCAGGACAAAUGUGAACAACCAUGAAAGGCUAAAAAUAAAAGUGAUGUCACAUCCGUGCCUUGGGAGUUUCUCCCCAUCACUGUCAAGGGCAAUCGUGGAAGCAGGACCUUGGAGAGCACCCACGCGGGGCUGGUUGGUGGCGCCUGCAAACACCCAGACAACGCGCAGGGCCACAGUCCCCCCCUGUGUGUGAUGUCUCUGUGCCUGAGUCUCUUGCUGGACCUUGCUCACUGUCUUUCCGUAAGAACCCAAAUCCCGCAUAUCACCAAUUUUCACCCUAAAAAUCCGGGUUAACUUUGAUUUAGAGGUUGUACAUUUGCAAGUAAGUGUGCCAUUGUGUUGCAAUCCUCUUCCAAAUAGGAAGCAGAUGUCACACGUCCCACAUUUUGGCGGAGCGUUUGGGUGCUUUUCCAUUUUCUCUUUCUCUGCUAGCUGUCAGCAGCCCGGAGAGCCCAGGAUUACUGUAGGCACGUGACCAAGAGUGAUCGUACUAGAACUAGGGUGAGCAAACCAUACUCGGGGGCAGCACAUCUCCGUUCGGACGUGGGAAAUCUCCCUGCAGGUCCUCAGUGCAAAGAUGCUUGCUGUCCUCCGGCUUAGAUGAGCCUCUUUCCUGUCAAAGAGAGGUCCACUCAUAUUCAGGAGGAGAAACACUGCACUGCUGGGUGAUUUAUUCAGGUCAGGGCACCGCAGGAUCGGGCCUCUUAUCAGCUAUUUUUAGCCUCAUCAUGAGUAGCCUUAUUUAAGAUGCUUUUUUCCAUUUUCUUUUUAUUUUCUUUAUUCUCAUGCACUGAGGAAAUAUAACAUUGGUUUUAAAACUACAGAAUUUAAAAAUAACCUAAUUGAGGUAUCCUAAUCCCAACCUCCCGGUCCAUCCCACUCCCUCCCUCUCCCCCUUGGUAGCCCCAGGUCUGUUCUCCGUGUCUGUGAGUCUGUUUCUGUUUCCUAGGUAAGUUCCUUUGUGUCCUCUUUUAUUUAAUACAUUUAAUUUUAAUUUCUUUUGGCCACACCCACGGCCUAUGGAAGUACCUGGACCAGGAAUUGAAUCUGAAGCACAGCUGUGACCUAUGUUGCAGCCGUGGCAACGCCAGGUCCUUAACUCACUGGGCCACAGCGGGAACUCCUCUGACCAUGCUCUUGUAAGGGUUGUUUCACCUCCUCUUACAUUAAGUGAAAAUCUCUCUUGGACACAUCUAAGAGACCCACCUAGAAUUAAUUUUGCAAAAGAACAGGGUUGUAAUACUGCAAAGUCCUAUUUAAUUUCUUUGAACUUAAUCUCUAGCAAAACCUAGUGCUUGAGUCUUUGAUGUCUGGUGUUAUCAGUCGAUAUUUGCAUGGAGGAACUUCAAACAUUAUACACUUGCCGUUAAUGGUUAGAGGAACGUUUUGGCCACGUGCUCCACUGUCCAGGGAAAGCAGAAGGCCCAUCACCCUCCUUCAUGACCUGUGGGCAUCAUCUUCCCAGAGGCCAGUCAUUAAUUCUCGUUGCAUUUUUUUUUUUUAAGCAACACAUUUUAUUUUGUUUUAUUUCCUUUUAGAGACACACCCGUGGCGUAUGGAGGUUUCCAGGCUAGUGGUUGAAUCGGAGCUGUAGCCACCAGCCUGCGCCACAGCCACAGUCACACCAGAUCUGAGCCGCGUGUGUGACCUACACCACAGCUCACGGCAGCGCCAGAUCCUUAACCCACUGAGUGAAGCCAGGGAUCAAACCCUCAAUCCUCACGGAUACUAGUCGGAUUUGUUUCUGCCGAGCCACAACAGGAACUCCUUUAAGCAACACAUUUUAUUUUUUAUUUAUUAUUAUUAUUAUUAUUUUGGUCUUUUUGCC
ensembl:lncRNA